rnacentral:rRNA from 1 species
AGUGAACGCUGGCGGUAGGCCUAACACAUGCAAGUCGAACGGCAGCACAGUAAGAGCUUGCUCUUACGGGUGGCGAGUGGCGGACGGGUGAGGAAUACAUCGGAAUCUACUUUUUCGUGGGGGAUAACGUAGGGAAACUUACGCUAAUACCGCAUACGACCUACGGGUGAAAGCAGGGGAUCUUCGGACCUUGCGCGAUUGAAUGAGCCGAUGUCGGAUUAGCUAGUUGGCGGGGUAAAGGCCCACCAAGGCGACGAUCCGUAGCUGGUCUGAGAGGAUGAUCAGCCACACUGGAACUGAGACACGGUCCAGACUCCUACGGGAGGCAGCAGUGGGGAAUAUUGGACAAUGGGCGCAAGCCUGAUCCAGCAAUACCGCGUGGGUGAAGAAGGCCUUCGGGUUGUAAAGCCCUUUUGUUGGGAAAGAAAAGAAGCAGGUGAAUACCCCGAUGUUCUGACGGUACCCAAAGAAUAAGCACCGGCUAACUUCGUG